rnacentral:rRNA from 1 species
GAUGCUAAUACCGGAUAACAACAGAUGAUGCCUAUCAACUGUUUAAAAAGAAUGGUUCUGCUAUCACUCUUGGAUGGACCUGCGGUGCAUUAGCUAGUUGGUAGGGUAACGGCCUACCAAGGCGAUGAUGCAUAGCCGAGUUGAGAGACUGAUCGGCCACAUUGGGACUGAGACACGGCCCAAACUCCUACGGGAGGCAGCAGUC